UUCAGAACUGGAAUGAAACUUACAGCUCAUCUAAACCAGAUGCCCCAUUUUACAGAGGAAUGAGGCAUUCGCAGGCUAAAUGACUCGUGCGGGUCCCCCAAUAGCUGAUGGCGAAGCUGUGAAUUCAGACCCCCACUUCGCUUGAGCAGUGACGGGAAGCUGGUGACUUCAGGCUCUGGCAGGUCGGCACAAAGUCGUGGCUUUGCCAUCUGACGGAGGACGCGCAGCGGUCGUCUCUGGCUGGGUAGACUGAGACCUGAACGCUGAGGGACUUAGGACCAGCAGUGCCGUCCAGGCCUGGCUGCAGACGGAAACUACUUCAAGAUAAGCUCCACCAAAAAUAGAGAGGAAAUCAAGAAGAUUAAGACGCAGGAUCCAGCGCAACGCUCCAGCACAGGAGAGACCAAAAGAACGUUUGACAAUCCACUGACUUCCUAGAAAACAGAAGAGUGGGCUGGGCAUGGUGGCUCACGCCUGUAAUCCCAGCACUCUGGGAGGCUGAGGUGGGUGGAUUACCUGAGAUCAGGAAUUCGGGACCAGCCUGGAGAAACCCCGUCUCUAAAAAUACAAAAAUUAGCCGAACGUGAUGGCGCACGCCUUGUAGUCCCAGCUACUCAAGAGACUGAGGCAGGAGAAUGGCGUGAACCCGGGAAGCAGAGGUUGUAGUCAGCCAAGAUCGCGCCACUGCACUCCAGCGUGGGAGACAGAGCGAGAGUCCGUCUCAAAAAAAAGAAAAAAAAAA
rnacentral:lncRNA from 1 species